GGUCAGUUCAGUUUAAUGGUAAAACACUUGACGCGUAAUCACAGAGAUGUGAGUUCGAGCCUCAUGGCUGGCCA
rfam:Octopus bimaculoides Scaffold3846_contig_156, whole genome shotgun sequence.